AGUCGAACGGUACGCGGGGGCACCUGGCGACGAGUGGCGAACGGGUGAGUAAUACAUCGGAACAUAUCCAGUAGCGGGGGAUAACCUGUCGAAAGAUGGACUAAUACCGCAUACGAUCUACGGAUGAAAGCAGGGUGACCGCAAGGCCUUGCACUAUUGGAGUGGCCGAUGUCGGAUUAGCUAGUUGGUGGGGUAAAAGCUUACCAAGGCAACGAUCCGUAGCUGGUCUGAGAGGACGAUCAGCCACACUGGAACUGAGACACGGUCCAGACUCCUACGGGAGGCAGCAGUGGGGAAUUUUGGACAAUGGGCGAAAGCCUGAUCCAGCCAUGCCGCGUGAGUGAAGAAGGCCUUCGGGUUGUAAAGCUCUUUCGGUGAAGACGAAACGGUUAGCGCUAAUAACGCUGACUAAUGACGGUACUCACAGAAGAAGCACCGGCUAACUACGUGCCAGCAGCCGCGGUAAUACGUAGGGUGCAGGCGUUAAUCGGAAUUACUGGGCGUAAAGGUGCGCAGCGGUUUGCUAAGACAGGUGUGAAAUCCCCGAGCUUAACUUGGGAAUUGCGCUUGUAACUAGCAGGCUAGAGUGUGGCAGAGGGGGGUGGAAUUCCACGUGUAGCAGUGAAAUGCGUAGAUAUGUGGAGGAACACCGAUGGCGAAGGCAGCCCCUGGGUUAACACUGACGCUCAGGCACGAAAGCGUGGGGAGCAAACAGGAUUAGAUACCUGGUAGUCCACGCCCUAAACUAUGUCAACUAGUUGUCGGGGAAGAAAUUCCUUGUAACGAAGCUAACGCGUGAAGUUGACCGCCUGGGGAGUACGCCGCAAGGUUAAAACUCAAAGGAAUUGACGGGGACCCGCACAAGCGGUGGAUUAUGUGGAUUAAUUCGAUGCAACGCGAAAAACCUUACCUACCCUUGACAUGUACGGAAUUCCGCAGAGAUGUGGAAGUGCCCGAAAGGGAACCGUAACACAGGUGCUGCAUGGCUGUCGUCAGCUCGUGUCGUGAGAUGUUGGGUUAAGUCCCGCAACGAGCGCAACCCUUGUCGUUAAUUGCCAUCAUUUAGUUGGGCACUUUAACGAGACCGCCGGUGACAAACCGGAGGAAGGUGGGGAUGACGUCAAGUCCUCAUGGCCCUUAUGGGUAGGGCUUCACACGUAAUACAAUGGGUCCGUUACCAGAGGGCUGCCAACCCGCAAGGGGGAGCUAAUCCCAGAAAGCCGAUCGUAGUCCGGAUUGUAGUCUGCAACUCGACUGCAUGAAGCCGGAAUCGCUAGUAAUCGCGGAUCAAGCAUGUCGCGGUGAAUACGUUCCCGGGUCUUGUACACACCGCCCGUCACACCAUGGGAGUGGGUUCCACCAGAAGUAGUAGCCUAACCGCAAGGGGGC
rnacentral:rRNA from 1 species